rnacentral:tRNA from 1 species
GGGCCGGUCGUCUAGCGGUCUAGGAUUGAGGCGCACCCUAAGAGCCGCCUGACGCGCGGCUGAUCCCCGGUUCGAAUCCGGGCCGGCCCA